AACGCACAUUGCGCUUCUGGGCAACUGGGAGCAUGCUUGUUUCAGUGUCCGUAACACCCCUCAACCCCCUAACCCGGGUUGGAGUAUGGGCUGUCCGGGCGACUUAGGGUCGCCUGGUGGUCUGAAGUGUCACGUGUGGGCACGCGGUCCGGGCUGGUGGUUCACUGAGCUUGGCGCUUGGCUGGUCCCGUUUAACUUUGCCUGGUGUGGUGGGUGCUUUUUUGCACAACAAACCCCCAAGCGAAAAGGGACCAGUUUGCCGAGUCUUGUAACUGAAACCCCGCCCGGGUGUCACUUUGUGUGCCGAGAGCCCGCUGGCGCCUGUGUGUGCCAGCGGCUCCAACACCCCCAACCCAAUCUCACGAUUGGACCUGAAAUCAAGUAAGAAGACCCGCUGGACUUAA
rnacentral:misc_RNA from 1 species